rnacentral:lncRNA from 1 species
CGUGACAUCUUCUCUCCACCCUUGGAUCAAACCGACCUCACAACCGCCAUUUGAUCAACGGCAGGGGCAAAUCAACAUGUGGGACAUGUGGGGAAGGUCGGUGGGAGGCCACCGACCCUAGAACCGCCUUUGAUGUGGGGUCGGGCGACCCCACUUCUGGGCCUCUGGGCCCACCAGCAGUGUCCACAGGGGUCCCUUAUGUCGGUGGACUAGGUGGCACACCUGGGUCCCACCAAAGAGGGGUCGGGCGACCCCCUCCCUGUGGGCCCAGGGUGUCACCUGUUGUCCCCUCAAUCUCCUCUUGAUGAUUCUGAUGUUGGCUUUGUCAAAUAAUGUCUUGAAUUUGUUGUUCCUGCAUAAACAAGCUAAGAGUACAAGUGGAACUAGUUAUGGAUAAAAUAUGUUCAUGUCAUGUCGUUUCCCCUUGCAACCGAGGCAUGUUGACGGUGUUUUGUAUGUGGAUUUCUAUGGUAUAUCCACCGUCAACAAGAUCCCCCAAGCUUAACCUUUGCUCGUCCCGAGCAAACAAUCAAACUUAGCCUCGGUGGAUCAGGUAUUGUUACUAUGUUCACAUUUCAAGAGUACCAUGUGUACAACAAAGUUCUUCUCUUUGCAUGAAAAAUUUAGCUAUGUAAACUUACCCCUAUUACCUUAGUCCCUUAUGGGGCUUAUGGCUUUUCCUUUGUCUUAGGUGGUUGAGAGACAGAACAGUUUGACUUGAGCACUAACUUUCUCAUUCUUAGCAAGUUUCAUACCAGAGGUUUUGUGAUAUUUUCAAAAGAAAGCUUAAAUGUUCCUCUUAUGGUUCUCUCAUGUCACUCAAAUGGUGUAUGAUUCCUCACCAAGGCAUAUGGUAAGAGUUGCCUUCUCUAUUUCAUCCUAUUUCUAAAAGGCUUAUGUGGAGUUCAAGGUAGGGAUGAAAGGAGAUAGCAUACUUACUUUGCAUGUAUUGCGAAGUCAAAGCUCGGAUCCUUGAAGAGAAGUGUCAUACUCCCAGAUCAAGAUGUGCAAGUGUGAUAUAUGGUGGACUAGGUUGCUCCUUUAUUUGAUAGACUCUCUAUGUAUUGAGACAUGGCUAGCAUUUUUUUUCUUCUUUUUUUUUAUUUUAUAUAUGAGCUUUCAUGUGCUCAAUUUUCUUUUUCUGUGGACUUGCACAUGUCCAUCUUUUUAUUUCAUUUUGCCUAGCCUUUUGAUGUCUCAUUUACCAAAUAAUGCUUAGAGAGAUGUUCUAUCAUUUAGAGUAUGGAGCAACCUAUUUAGUGGAUGCGAAAUACAUGUGGUUGCGUACUUCCAGUGUAGAAGCAACAUAUAUAUAUAUGUGGUGUGUACGUGAUCUUGAUCUUAGGAGCAUGAAAAGUCUCUUAACAAGGGUCAACAAGACUUGACGACACUCAACACAAAGCAAAUAGCUUAUGUGGAAAGGUUGCAAUUAUGUAAAGUAGAUAUGGCUGUGGUAGGAAUUCAUCACCAUUGAGGAACAAUUAAGGUUUUGAUCAUUUUAAGAAUAAAUCUCUGAUAAUCAUGCAUGCUUAGAAAAAUAUUAUAGUAGCUCUUGUCUUACUAUCUCAUGUCCCACAACAACUUAGACUUAGUUCUAGCACUUGCAACCCACAAAGUUUUUAGGUUCAUGGCAGUUUAAGUGAGCUAAGUGAUCCAUACUUAGAGAAAUACUAAGUUGUAUACUAGGCACUAGAGAAACAUUAACAAGCAACUAGUCAUAAUUUCCAUGAGGGAUAUAAACAUACAUGAAGCAUAUAUGCUAAAGGGAAAUGCUAAUAAAUAUUUAUUUAUUUUUUUUAAGUAAGAAUGAUAAAAUGUAUGAAAAUAAAUAGGAUAGAAUACUUACCUUAGUUGGGGAGAGGAUCUCCCCCAAGCUAGAUCUUCGCUCACUGUGGUGGCGGGAAAUUUUGGUACCAUCCAGCCCAGCGUUGUGCGUCUUCCUCUCGCACACGUCGGAUAUGUUGGCCGUUUUGUAACGCCAGUUGCAAUGUUGCUUCUUGCCCAAUCUGCAAUUCGCCCAUGUCAUUCAUGAGACUGUCCAUACCUGUGGGCUGGUGACGCCUAGCCCUGUCCCUUGGGCGUGGAGUGCGUUGUGGAGGUAGACCCAUGGAGUCUGAAGCAUCCACUGACAUCGCUUCAUCGCCCUCUUCAACGUCAUGGUGCGAGGAUCCUCCUUGCUCCAUCCGGGCAGCUUGCAUCAUCCUUCUUGUCACCCUGCGUGUCCCUGCAACAUCUAGACUUGCCACUCGGGCUAGUCUAAUGGUAAGUGUGCGGACCACAUACAACCGGCGCCUCGCACAUGGGAGAGGAAUUUCGGUUGUAUAGCCCGGAUAAAUCAUUUUAAGUUCACCAUUUGGAUCUCUUAUGAGCAUGUUAGCAUUGAUAAAGAAGUUCUCAUCUACCACUCCUCUAACAUAGCCAAUGUCUUCAAAAUAAUGUGAUUCAAGUAAUCCAAAAGUAUCGGCUAUUCGAGUAAUAAAGGAUGUGAAAUAGAUGGGCUUCCCAUACUCAGUCGAGUUAAGCCAAUAGUUCACUAGCAGUUUCACAGGGGAGACCUUGAUUUUACUAACCAUGGCAUAGAGAAUUUUAAGUUCAUCAUCAAUUAAAGUAUCAGUUCCCAUGCCAGGAUAUAGAGUGCACAUGAUCCAGAAGUGAAGAAAGCGCAAGGUUGGAUUAUGGAUUUCAAUGGGAGUAGGAUUUGAACAAUCAUUAGAGCCAGAAAUUGCUUUCCAGAAUCUAAAUUUAUCGAACAUUCUAGUGGCAUGAUCUAGAUCAAGUUCACAUUCAUGUUCACACCCUAAAGCAGUGUUUAGCAAACUCCAAUUUAAUUGAUGUUCUUGCUCACACAUGCGAAAAGAUAUUCCAUUAUUUGUGAGUUUUAGGGUGCAUAGAAAUUCCUUAGCAAGCAAUUCUUUUCCAAAUUCAGGCACUUGCCAAAAACUACUCCAACCAAUUGCUCUAAACACCUUAUCGAAUUCAACAUCCAUACCUGUGCGGGCCAAAAGGUCCGGAUCGAUGAUGCUAGUGUGUAGGAAGAGACCCUCUCGGAUGAUGUAGUACCUUUGCAACUCUUCUUGGCUUAACAUGAGGCCGCUCUCGGGCUCUCUCAUCCUUGAUGGAGGCUCGUAGGGUACCAUCCCAUGGUAACCUUCUUCUUCCUCCCUUCCAUGAGCAUGGUGAGAGCCUUGAGAAGAGCUCUCACCCUUUGCUUUCUUGAACUUGCCGAAGAUAUGCUUCUUCAUCCUCCUACACAAGUGAGGCAAACCAAGCUCCUACUACUACUACUAUGCAAGGGGAAUCUUUUUGGGUUUUUGUUUUGAUGACUAUUUCUAAACUAAACUUGAGAAAUGGCUUGUAACAAAGAUAGAAGAGAAAGGAUUGUGAGCUCGAAAUGGUUCUGGUGGUUUUGGGUGUGGAGUUGAGCUCACAAUGCUGUGGUAUUUAUAGGGGGAGAAGGGCAAGUAGUGGACCCACAAUAUAGGGGUCGGCCGACCCCCCCUAGAAGCACUUUGAAUUUGAAUUUAGCUUUAUACAGGGAACCAUUCUGCAUGCUUUCAAGAUUUUGCAGAGAUGGUCCAAAAUGGGGGUCGGCCGACCCCCAUCCUAGCCCCUCCUCCACUUUAAACAUUGUGUCAUUGAUUGUCCAGAAAAGUAAAGGCUAGGUGUGGACCAAAAGUUUUCAAAUUGUUUUUGAGAUUCCCUGUUUUAGUGCUUUGUGAAAGGUAAAAGAUGAAUGGCAAAAGUGGAGACAUGUCUAAAGUGAUUCCUAUGGACCAUGGGAGCACUCAAGCAUGCCUAGGUGACCACUUUGCAGAAUUUAAGCUAGUGGAGUGGUCCCAAAAGAAUCAAAGAUGAAAGGAGCAUCUUAUGACUAAAGUAAAGGAUCAAGGGACCACUCUUUUUCAAACUUUAGCUAGUGUUACAAGCAUAGGACUCCAUUGUGAUUCAAAUGGUGGCCAGCAGGAGGCAAGUGGGGCCAAUAUGGGGGUCGGCCGACCCCCACAUUGGAGCUCCCAGAGCAUCCAAGUGCUGGGUUGGAACCUCUAUGACUAGCAAGGUUGAAAUGUGGUGAAGUGGGCCCCAAGGUGGGGUCGGGCGACCCCCCUUUGGGAGCUCCAGCAGCUCAAAUUUUUAUGACAAGUUAUUCUCAAGAUUUUAUUUAUUAUGGCUAAACAUUUUGUCGAAAUAAGAUAUGCAAAAUUCAAAGUAAGAAUGCAAUUGAAAAGUGAAUAGUAGAAAUUGAAAUGCAGAAAAUAAAUAUGGGAUAACUACUGAUUUACCUUAUCAGCAAGGGCUCCAUGUUUUAGGUCCGUAGAGCAGGACCUCUCCAUCUUGUUCAUCCUUCGGGUGCAUCAGAUGGUCCCGGAGACGUGGACCUUGAUUGCACCUCUUUCUCCCGCCAUACUUGCUUGGUAUUGAUUUUUGGUUCAGCGGGUUCCUCUUCUUUCUUUUUGGCCCUUUUGGCCGACUUACCUCUCUUGUCCCUUCGGCGUCGGAUGUGGCGAGGCUUAGUCGGAGGUUCUUUGUCCUUCACCUGCAUGUUAGCUUUAUAACCAUUGAAUGGACAUUUUACCUUCCAUCCUGGGAAUUGGAGGUGAAUCUGGCCGGACCCCACAUAGAUGACUGCAUUGACCGUGUUGAGGAAUGGCCUUCCCAAGAUGAUCGAGACAUCAUUAUUGGAUCCCAUAUCUAGAAUGAUGAAGUCGGCAGGGACGUAGUCGUCUUGAACUUUUACCAGUAUGUCCCUUGCCAACCCCUCAGGGAACCUGAUCGUCUGAUCUGCCAUCUGCAAACGAACAAAUGUGGGGUGCAAAGGCCCCCCUAGCAAAUUAUCAUAAGUUACCUUGGCCAUGAUGUUGACACCCGAUCCAAGGUCGCAGAAGGCGUUGUGGAAGAUUUGCGGUCCAAUCUCACAGGUGAUGGUCGGCAGGCCUGGGUCGUCCUUCUUGGUGAUGAAGGGCGAAUCGAGAAGAUAGCUCCAGUUGGAUUGUACCGGAGGCUUACCGAACCUCGUAGUAACUAGUUUAACUCCUUCAAUUGGGUCCUUAGGUUUCCCUGGGAUCUUACCUUGCUCGAAGGAUGGGACAGCUGCUGCUAAUUGAGCUAAUUGUGUUUCUAGCAUUUUGUUAAAGCUCAACUGAUUUUUCAUAGCAGAGUUAAAGCUAUCCAACUUUUCACUUAAGUUUUCAAGGAUCUUAUCAUUAGCUAUCAUUUUCUUGUUAAUGCUAUCAUUGAUUUUAGAUUGGCCUAAGACAAGAUCUCUAAGAGAAGGUUGGUUACCAAAAGAAUUAUUGAAAUUUUGAUUGUAACCAUUACCUUGAUUACCUUGGUAGAAGGGGCGCGAGUUCCAUUGCUGUUGUUGGGGCCGGUACCCAUUGUUGUUGUUGUUGAUGAAGCUCACUUCCUCCUUUGUUUCGGGACAAUUGUUUCCCGAAUGAUCAUCUCCUCCGCACACUUCGCACCAUGAAUCAGAUUCAAUGGCCCGUGCAGUGGCGUAAGGUUGAAUGGUCUCUUGCUUGGAACUUUCUUCCAUCUUCUUCAUUAAGAGGUCCAUCUUAGCAGAGAGCAUGUCCACCUCAUUCAAGGCAUGGACACCUCUUCUCUUGGGUUGGAGGCGUUCCUCAUUCCAUCCUUGGUUUAUAACCAUCUUUUCAAUGAGGUCCUUGGCAUCCUUGACAUUGUGUUGCAAGAAUGCUCCUCCAGCGGCAGCAUCAAGGUGACUACGGGCCAAACCGGUCAGGCCAUGGUAGAAACCUUGGAUUAGGAGCCACUCCUCUAUCCCAUGAUGAGGACAGGCGCGAAUGUACUCCUGCAGACGUUCCCAUGCUUCGGGAAUCAUCUCAUCUGCUUGCUGUUGGAAGCUGGAAAUCUUUCCACGAAGGGCGCUGGUCUUGCCCAUCGGAAAGAACUUCUUGAGAAAUGCAUUGGCGCACCUCUCCCACGUGGUCACUUCACCCUUGUUGGCGUAGAACCAUUGCUUCGCCUUCCCCAAUAACGAGAAUGGGAAGAGGCGAAGACGGAUGACGUCUGCGGCGACAUUCUUGAUGGUGAAGGUGCCGCACACCUCUAAGAAGUGUUGGAGAUGGGCAUUGGCAUCCUCGUGUGGCUUUCCACAGAAGGGAUUAGCUUGCACCAUAUUGAUAAGCGCAGGCUUCAACUCAAAAGUCGCAUCCCCCAAGUUAAGCUGCGGACCCGUGGCGACAUUGUCAGCCGACGGCGCAGAGUACUCAGAGAUGGUCUUCUGGGCCAUAGCUUCUUUGAUAACCGGUGCAGAUACUCCUUCCUCUAACGGAUUCAGGUUCGAGAUGAACCUUUGAGGUGGAACUUGACGACGUCUAGUUCUCCUCAACAGUUGCUCAGGAUCUUCAACGAAGUUUGACAGCAAUUGGAAACCGCUCAUACACUGUCAGGCUUCACAAUAAAGGAAGACAAGACAAGUGAUGGGUUAUCCCUAUCACUACUUGAUAACUAGCAAACUCUGGAUUCUCUUUUUGUUAAAACUCUUAGACAGACGCUCUCCCCGGCAACGGCGCCAGAAAUGCUUGUUGACACUUCUUAACGCAACCACCGGAUAUCGGCGACGGCGCCAGAAGUGCCCUGGUAGGGUAACUCUAUUUACUAUUGGAUAAUUCCGCAAGCGCACAGAAUGUACCGCUGUAGCACUUCACCAAGGAGUAUUCCAAGGUAUCGUAAUUUAUAUUUUCCCAAGGGAAAGCGGCUAAGUGUGUUUAACAAAAAGGGGAAUGAGAUUCCUUGAGUUAUCUAGUAUCAACUAGUGAAUAAGGGUGGUAAAUAACGAAUAGGAAGGGUAGUGGUGAAUCCAAGGUCCUAUGCUAAAGGUAAAUGGUAGAGUUAGCUAGGUGGGAGGACAACGAGUGAGUAAAGGACUCCUAUGUAUCUAACUUGACUUCUGUGACUUACUUUAAUAGAUAAUUGUCUUAACUACGCUAGAGCCUUACUAACUGUGUGCGAGGGAUAGCCGAGCUGGUAAGACGCUUAGAAGGUUUUUCACCUAACCCCUUACCAAAAGCGACUAUUGGGCUUAUGGACGCCUUACCUUUUAAGAACUAGCCUGUACGUGAGGAGAACCUAAUGCCGCCCACGAUCUGUCACCUACUAGGGAGUGCGCUCCUACUUUCCGUUCAAGCCAGCGGAAAUCAAAGGUAAUCUUAAGUAUGAGCACCACGCUCACACUUAAUCCUACAACGCUAACUAGUUGCAGCUAGCUAGAGCUCCUAUACAAGAUAGGACGAUGAUGCACACACAGGAGUGGUUACAGGUCACUAACUUCACUAAGACAACUAUAUUACUAAAGUAAAUGCACAACAAGACUAAAAUACUUGCACUAAGUAAGAACUCAGUAAAGUAAAGUAAAUAUAUUAAUAAAAGGAAAGUCUUACAAAAGUAGAAAGGUACAAGAGCUAUACCAGACUCUCCAGAAGACGACUCCGGAGACCCCGAGCUUCGCUCGACUCGACUCUAACUCCCACUCUAGACUAACUACUACUCUACUUGUAUGCUUGGAACUUGUAAUGCACUUGGCCUUGGAAUUGCACACUUGAAAUGAAGGAUGGAGGCUGCCUUUUAUAGAGGGAGAUGGAGUAGGGGUUACUCCAUCGCCACGUCAUCGAUCCGCGUGACAUCUUCUCUCCACCCUUGGAUCAAACCGACCUCACAACCGCCAUUUGAUCAACGGCAGGGGCAAAUCAACAUGUGGGACAUGUGGGGAAGGUCGGUGGGAGGCCACCGACCCUGGAACCGCCUUUGAUGUGGGGUCGGGCGACCCCACUUCUGGGCCUCUGGGCCCACCAGCAGUGUCCACAGGGGUCCCUUAUGUCGGUGGACUAGGUGGCACACCUGGGUCCCACCAAAGAGGGGUCGGGCGACCCCCUCCCUAUGGGCCCAGGGUGUCACCUGUUGUCCCCUCGAUCUCCUCUUGAUGAUUCUGAUGUUGGCUUUGUCAAAUAAUAUCUUGAAUUUGUUGUUCCUGCAUAAACAAGCUAAGAGUACAAGUGGAACUAGUUAUGGAUAAAAUAUGUUCAUGUCAUGUCGUUUCCCCUUGCAACCGAGGCAUGUUGACGGUGUUUUGUAUGUGGAUUUCUAUGGUAUAUCCACCGUCAACAACUAGCAGACGGAGGAUAUUCUAAUCGCUGUCAGAAUGCUGCUGACUUUCAAAUACACCUCUGCCGCCUGCUAGCUACAUCAAGAGAAAUUACGUCAAAAUUCAGCUUGGGGGAGAGCACCCCCAUUUAUCUCGAUAAGUAUUUCUAUAUAUCUAUCUAUCUUUACACUCAUAUUAUUUUAGAAUAUAAAUAUACAUAACUAUGAAAAAAACCAAAUAAAGAUUUUAUGCUUAUAUAUAUGUCUUUGGCUUAGUGUGUUUAAUAAAAUAAAUAAAGUGGCUAUGCUAAUCUGUAUCUAAAUAAAACUUAAGCAUGGAUAUGAUGAAUAGUUGCUCUGCCUAAUUUGCACAUUUUAAGUUCUCUCUCAAGUUUAGAUAUAACUGUUAUAAUUUAAAGCUUGCUCUAGACCUAAACUUGUGGGAUGAAAACUUGAUCUGAAGUCUAAGUUGUUAACGGAUACGAUAUGGGAAGGUUGAGCUGCUGUUUAUCUGUUCCUAGAGAUGCUAGAAUUCUGGAGAAUUUUAUCUUUGAAAAUCUUUAAAAUAUUGCAUGAUGAGUUCCUGUAUGAUGAGAGUUUAAAUUCCUACCACAGCCAUAUAUACAUGCUUGCUAGACUUCGAGCCACACAUUUACUAUUUACUGCUUAUGAGCAUUGAGUGUGGUCAAGCUGUGUAGACCCUUAGGAACUUGUCAUGUGGUUAAAUCAAGAUUUCACUUGCACGUUCACUCAUAUAUGCUACUUCUACUCCGGAAGUACCAUCCACAUAUAUCCAUCCAUUUCCAUCUCCAGAACCACCUAAAAAUAUUCUACUCCUAAUCCAGGAGAGAAUAACCAAAAAUAUUUUUGUUUUCCCCUUGUGAAAUAAAUGCUCAAGUUAUCUUGUUACUACCACUUGCUAUCUUAUCUCAUGAGAUGAGUGCUCUAAAAAAAAGAAGAGAAAAAGAAAAAGAAAAAAAUACGAGGAAAUAAAAAGGAGCAAGUGCUCGGAACCUUGAAAGAAAAAAAGAGUGAGACGAGAGGUAAAAAUGGACAAGUGUCCGACAGUAGAAUUAGGGGUGCAAGAUACCCACCUGAGAGAAAAGAAAAAGAAGAGCAUCUCAUUCUCCUCAUAAAUUUAAAAAAAAGCAAGGAAGGUAUGUAUCCCCUCAAAGAGCAAAAGUAGAAUUAGACUUCCACCACCAUUGUUUUCACCAUUGUUAUCACCAUCACCACCAUACAUCAUUCAUUCGCCACACAUGCACAUCAUGAUUUGGCUUAUUGAUUUGUUUCUUUGGAUCCAUGGUUUGACUAUGCAAUAAAUGUCUUGUAAGUAUGUAUAUCUCCCACCUAUGAGCUCCAGAUAUUAAAGCCUUAUUAGAGUAGGAUGAGAGAGAAGGCAAUGUCACUAUGCCUUAUACCACAAAUACUACAUAUCUUGAGAGAAGGCAUAUACCAUCACUGCCUCGGUAAGGAUCCAGAAAUACCACAAAAGAGAGAUCUGAGAGAAUCAUACAAGGAAUCUCUGAGUUUUAUUUAAAAAUCUGCAAAAACCCCAGAGCUAUAGCUGAUCAAGUAUAAGAGACAUGGCACUUGACUAGACUGUUCUAUCUUUUAACCACUCAAGACAGAAGUGACAGUUACAAGUCCCAUGGUAAAGGUAAAGUAAGUAAGUUUUAAGUCUUGACAGUUUACUCUAACUCAGAGAUGAGAUCUUAUUUAAAAAGCAUGUGUACCAUCAAUUUUAAAAUAUAUUGCAACAACUUAUGAUCCAUAGCUGAGUCUAUCCUUGCUCAGGGACGAGCAAGAGGUAAGCUUGGGGGAGUUUGUUGACGGUCCUUAACUAUCAAAUUUAAUUAUCAAAUAAAUAAAGAAAAGGAUCCAAAUAAAAUCAAGAUCUAGACUUAGGGUUUUAUCUGACAGAAUUCCACGAGUUUUGGUGUUUGUCUAUUUCUGCAGGGGGUUAUCAGGAAAUACGGAAGAAAGGCCUACACGUCGGGAUUACGUAAAGAUAUUAACGUGCUGCGCAAUUAUCUUACAUCUAGAAGACUCCAGAAGCCACGAGACCGAAGCGGAGGCGAAACGGGGCCAGACCCUGGGCGCCCGCCCACCUCCUGAGUCCAAUCAGGACUCUGCUUCGUGGGAGAUCUCCACCGACCUAAAGGAUGGAUCUAAACCAUAAAAUCUAUGUCGGUUUGAUCCAACGGCCCAUAUUCACUUGAAGGGACUAUAAAACCAGACCCCCUGGCUCCUGGAGGAGAGAGCCUCUCAACCCUAAUUCAUUGUUCCAUCAAGGGAGAAGAAGCCUCUGAUCAAGAUUAGAGCCACCACAUCAAUUAGAUAUCUAGAUUAGCAUAGCUACAUAGGAUUAGAACUAGAAGGAGUCAAUCUUCGAUUGGUUUCCGGAUCUGUCAAGAGGAUUCUUGGUAAUUCUCUAAUUGUGCUUCUAAUUACUUUCUAAUUAUCUUUGUUCUUCAAUAUUAUGAAUAUGACUUUGUUCUACUUCAAUAUAUUGUUUAUGACUUUGCUCUACUUGCUUAUAUUCAAGAUUAUAUUGUUCUUAGUUUAUCAUAGUUAUGUACUUGGCUUAGUUAGAUUGGAUCUAUAUACAUGCUUAGGAUCGUAUAGCGUUUAUCCAUCGGAUCCAUGGGUAAAUGAUAGAUAUUGUGUAAGCGUGGUGCUUAUACCGUAUUUAUCUGUGAUUGUACCCAAUAUGCCAGAUCGUGGGGUGGUUCGUGAUAGUGACAGCUUCAUUGAUUCUUAUAUAGUCCCCCUCUCGUGUAUUGGGCUGGCAGAGCAACAUUAUUACAGGGGAGUGAUUGCUAUGUUUCUCAUAUUCCUUGUUAAUAUCACUAUGCAUGGGCGUGGUCUUGUCUCGCAAUGAUUGCCAAGUAUGCUUGCACUAAUUAUGAUAAUGCUAGACUAUAUAGUUGAAAAUAACUUAGGGAAUAUUCUUGUAGUUCGUUCUAAUACCAUGCUAAUGACUUUCUAGAGUAUCUAAUUGUGGUGCUUAUCAUAUUUAUUAUGUGGCUAGAUCAGAUUAGUUAUCCUUGUCACUAUUAUUAUUUCAUAUAUCUUUUAUGUGACACUUGUCCCUGUAUGAGAAGUUAGAUAUAAUGUUCUCAAUUAUACAUCCAAUGAUAGAUGCUCAAUCUCAUAUUCUAUUCUGUAAUCAAUAUUGAUGAUUGUUAAUCCCUUCCCAGUGGUAAAAAUAUAAAUAACGAUACCUGGAAUACUUCCCGGUUAAAAUGCUGCAUCGGUAUUAAUCUGUGCGCU